rnacentral:rRNA from 1 species
AACGAGCGAGACCCACGCCAACAGUUGCCAGCUCGUCCUCCGGGAUGGUGGGGACACUGUUGGGACCGCCUCUGCUAAAGAGGAGAAGGAAUGGGCAACGGUAGGUCAGCAUGCCCCGAAUUAUCUGGGCUACACGCGGGCUACAAUGGGUGGGACAAUGGGUAUCGACACCGAAAGGUGAAGGCAAUCUCCUAAACCCAUCCGUAGUUCGGAUUGUGGGCUGCAACUCGCCCACAUGAAGCUGGAAUCUGUAGUAAUCGUGUCUCAAAAUGGCACGGUGAAUAUGUCCCUGCUCCUU